GUUUGAUUUUAGUAUUCGAAUUCCUGCUUUAAUUGGCUGGCCCUCGUCCUCUAUUUACCGAUACUAUUCCUUAUUUUUGUUCUUGUAGAUCUUUUUUAACCUCGUUGCUUUCCCUUUUUCCUUUCUUCUUCUUGUUCAUUUGGUUGGAUUUUCUCUGCUUACAUAACCUUUCUUCACUAGACUUCCAUGAUUUCUAACUGGGUAAGGAUUUCGGGUUCAUUUUUGCGCUUGUAAUUUUUUUGGCUGCUAUUUUACUUGGUAUAGAUUUUCUUCUUUUGCUGUGGCUCCCCCCCUACGUAAAUGACAUGAAGUGUUUUAUUUUCAUGAUAAAC
rnacentral:misc_RNA from 1 species